UACGGAGGGUGCGAGCGUUAAUCGGAAUAACUGGGCGUAAAGCGCGCGCAGGCGGUCAUUUAAGAGAGGUGUGAAAUCCCCGGGCUUAACCUGGGAACUGCAUUUCAGACUGGAUGACUAGAGUGCGUUAGGGAGGGGUAGAAUUCCACGUGUAGCAGUGAAAUGCGUAGAUAUGUGGAGGAAUACCGAAGGCGAAGGCAGCCCCUUGGGCAGGUACUGACGCUCAUGUGCGAAAGCGUGGGGAGCAAACAGG
rnacentral:rRNA from 1 species